CCUACGGGCGGCUGCAGUGGGGAAUAUUGGACAAUGGGGGCAACCCUGAUCCAGCCAUGCCGCGUGUGUGAAGAAGGCCCUCGGGUUGUAAAGCACUUUCAGUGAGGAAGAACGCCUGGUGGUUAAUACCCAUCAGGAAAGACAUCACUCACAGAAGAAGUACCGGCUAACUCCGUGCCAGCAGCCGCGGUAAUACGGAGGGUGCGAGCGUUAAUCGGAAUUACUGGGCGUAAAGCGCGCGUAGGUGGCUUGAUAAGCCGGUUGUGAAAGCCCCGGGCUCAACCUGGGAACGGCAUCCGGAACUGUCAAGCUAGAGUGCAGGAGAGGAAGGUAGAAUUCCCGGUGUAGCGGUGAAAUGCGUAGAGAUCGGGAGGAAUACCAGUGGCGAAGGCGGCCUUCUGGACUGACACUGACACUGAGGUGCGAAAGCGUGGGUAGCAAACAGGAUUAGAUACCCGAGUAGUC
rnacentral:rRNA from 1 species